GUCGUAAUUUGAUUUUUUCUGUCAUUAAAGGUUUUGUCCGACGACACGUGCCAGUAAUUAACAAGGUAAUAAAAUCACUGACCCAUGCAGAAAUAAAGAAACAUAACAAAUUACACGGCUUCCACCUUUUUGUUUGCCGUGUUAUAUAAUUGUUUGUUUUUGUAGGAUUUAAAACAAAACUUUGUAUUUCUUUCUUUUUUGUGUGUAUUUUUUUAUAGGUUAAUUAUUUUGACUUUAUGAUACUUUUUUUGGGGUUUUUAGUCAAACUUCAUUGUAAUUCGAAGUUGAUGAUUUUUGUAAAACGAUUGUUUUAGGUGGUGUUUGUUUCGUUGUAUUUGUAAAAUUGUAUGAAAGAUUGGUUUGUCCUAUAAUAGAAUAUGGAGCAGGUAUAUGGGGUAAAAAAAAACAUAUUCCUGUAUUAACUCUAUACAUAAUAGGGCUUGUAGAUUUUUUUCUCGGAGUACAAAAAUAUGCACCAAAUGCUACAGUUACUAGAGACUUAGGAAUACCACCUAAUUUUGAUAAACAGUGGAAAAGUAUUAUUCGUUUGUGGUGUAGAUUAAAUAACAUGAGCUCAAAUCGGUUAAGUGCAAAAGUUCACAAGUGGGCUGAUAGUGUGAGUAUUAAGCAUAAGUGUGUUAAAAACUGGAUUUUCUUAGAAAAAAAAACCUUCUAGCUAAAUUCAAGUCAUUUAUCGUGUCCUGAAAAUAUGGACACUAACUUUGUUGUAAUUUUUUUUAUGUCAAAAUUGUUCCUGUAACAAAUACCAUGUACAUGUACAUAUAUGAGGCUAUGAAAGUAAAUAAAUGGAGUUUACAGAAAUAAAGAUGAUAAUGGGAUAAGC
rnacentral:lncRNA from 1 species